rnacentral:rRNA from 1 species
CUACGGGGCGCACCAGUGGGGAAUAUUGCACAACGGGGGAAACCCUGAUGCAGCGACGCCGCGUGAGUGAAGAAGUACUUCGGUAUGUAAAGCUCUAUCAGCAGGGAAGAAAAUGACGGUACCUGACUAAGAAGCCCCGGCUAACUACGUGCCAGCAGCCGCGGUAAUAGGUAGGGGGCAAGCGUUAUCCGGAUUUACUGGGUGUAAAGGGAGCGUAGACGGUGAGACAAGUCUGAAGUGAAAUCCCGGGGCUCAACCCCGGAACUGCUUUGGAAACUGCCUGACUGGAGUGCAGGAGAGGUAAGUGGAAUUCCUAGUGUAGCGGUGAAAUGCGUAGAUAUUAGGAGGAACACCAGUGGCGAAGGCGGCUUACUGGACUGUAACUGACGUUGAGGCUCGAAAGCGUGGGGAGCAAACAGGAUUAGAUACCCCGGUAGUC